rnacentral:rRNA from 1 species
CAGGACGAACGCUGGCGGCGUGCUUAACACAUGCAAGUCGAACGGAAAGGCCCUGCUUUUGUGGGGUGCUCGAGUGGCGAACGGGUGAGUAACACGUGAGUAACCUGCCCUUGACUUUGGGAUAACUUCAGGAAACUGGGGCUAAUACCGGAUAGGAGCUCCUGCUGCAUGGUGGGGGUUGGAAAGUUUCGGCGGUUGGGGAUGGACUCGCGGCUUAUCAGCUUGUUGGUGGGGUAGUGGCUUACCAAGGCUUUGACGGGUAGCCGGCCUGAGAGGGUGACCGGCCACAUUGGGACUGAGAUACGGCCCAGACUCCUACGGGAGGCAGCAGUGGGGAAUAUUGCACAAUGGGCGGAAGCCUGAUGCAAGCAACGCCGCGUGCGGGAUGACGGCCUUCGGGUUGUAAACCGCUUUCGCCUGUGACGAAGCGUGAGUGACGGUAAUGGGUAAAGAAGCACCGGCUAACUACGUGCCAGCCGCAGC